UACGAAGGGGGCUAGCGUUGCUCGGAAUCACUGGGCGUAAAGCGCACGUAGGCGGAUUGUUAAGUCAGGGGUGAAAUCCUGGAGCUCAACUCCAGAACUGCCUUUGAUACUGGCUAUCUUGAGUCCGGGAGAGGUGAGUGGAACUGCGAGUGUAGAGGUGAAAUUCGUAGAUAUUCGCAAGAACACCAGUGGCUAAGGCGGCUCACUGGCCCGGUACUGACGCUGAGGUGCGAAAGCGUGGGGAGCAAGCAGG
rnacentral:rRNA from 1 species